GAAGGGGUCUUUGUAUGCUUUUCUGUGUUGGUUCCACUGAGUUCAUCACAAUGGAGAUGGACAUUUGAAAUUCGUAGCGAUCCAGCAUCUGGGCAAUCUUCUUUCUAGACACACCAUGCUUAUUCCUCCUACCAACAGGAAAAAAAAAAAAAAAAAAAGGAAAAAGAUUUUAAAUCUUUUUUCUAAUUUUUUACAAAGUACAGGUUUAGAGAUUGAGCUAUUUUACAGUUAUAGAAUAAAGUCUAAAUGAUAUUUUAUAAACACAAGAAGACAUACUUUGAUUUAUAUAAGAAGAGUCAUACUUGCUAUUUCUUUUUUUUUUUAAAGACUUAUUAUAUGCAAGUACACUGUAGCUGUCUUCAGACACACCAGAAGAGGGCGCAAGAUCUCAUUACAGAUGGUUGCGAGCCACCAUGUGGUUGCUGGGAUUUGAACUCAAGAUCUUCAGAAGAGCAGUCAGUGCUCUUAACCGCUGAGCCAUCUCUCCAGCCCCCCAUACUUGCUAUUUCAGAGGACGUUAACUAACUAUAACUCCUUACAGAAUAGCUCAUUGAAAACAUUAGGUAUACAGCAAAAUAAAAGAUGCUUUCUUAAAUUUGUUUUGUUAAAGAGACAGAAAGAACAUGAAGUUGGGGGGUGGGAUCUGGGAGGAGUUAGGGGAGAGGAAAGAAUAUGAUCAAAAUAUAUUACAUGCAAUUUCUUUAAAUACUUUAAAAAGGGAAAUUUUUUUUUUUUGGUUUUUCAAGAAAGGGUUUCUCUGUGUAGCCCUCACUUUGUAGACCAGGCUGGCCUCAAACUCAGAAAUCCGCCUGCAUCUGCCUCCCAAGUGCUGUGUGCCACCACUGCCUGGCUAAAACUUUUAAGUGCCCAGCUAAAACUUUUAAAAGAAAAAAAGAUUAUGAGAUAGUAUUUUGAGAAGUACAGAAAAAAAACAAAUGGAUUUCCUAAUACUUAUCAAAAAUAAAAAAUAUUGAUUAGUUACUUAUAUUUAUGAUAAUUUUAUAUCUUGUUAAUCAGUUUAUUAUUGUUGGGUUUUUGAGGCAGGUCUAUUAUUAUUGGGUUUUUUUUUGUUUUUGUUUUUGUUUUUUUUUUUUGUUUUUUUUUUAGGUAGGAGCUCUGGUUGUCCUGGAACUCACUAUGUAGACUCAGAGAUCUGCAUCCAUCUGUCUCUGUCUGCCAAGCACUGGAAUUAAAGGUGUGUGCCACCAUAACCAGCUUUUCCUACUUCAUUUAAAAUUUUUUAUUACCAGUACCUUAUUAUUAGGAAUACAGUAUGAUGUUGAUUGAAAAAUUAGAUACAAACAAUACAUAAUAUAUGAUUUUAUUCACACAUGUUCAUGUAAGUUGGAAAAAGGCAAAAAAUUAUAAGGUAAACUUUCCACAAAAUGUAAUCAGUAAGAGAUUAUCAGGUCUUCCCGCAAAACACCACUGCCACCACCACAACAACCAUACUGGAGUGUGCCGCAUUUCUG
rnacentral:lncRNA from 1 species